CAGGGUCCCAGGUGUGGGAGCUUUUAAAAGAGGCCUUAGAGGUUGUGCUUGUGGUGCUUGUGCUGGGAAGGAUGCAGGUCAACUGAAGCCCGAAUCUCAGUGACAAGCUUGAAUUUGCCUGAUGCACCUCAAGAGCAAGGUCUUGAUACGUUUUAAAAGAAGCACAUGGCCCAGUGAUCGUGAAGCUGAUGGUGAAAAGAAAUCAAGGGGAAUGCUUCUCAUGCUCAGCUCAGAGGCUAGCAUGUGUAUUCUUGAAGAUUUCGCCGCUCUGUGGGAAGGUGACCAAGGCUCUCCAUCCGUUCAGAAACUACCUGGCUGGCAAGGGACAGCACUGCAAGUGAGUAAAACCCAAGGUCAGACCCUCACAUCCCCUAUUCCAGCAUUUCAAAAGGGCAUCCAAAAUGUAGAAAGUCAGUCUCCAUCAAAACUCAAAACAAGAAUCUAGUCCCAAGUCUUGGGCCAUCUUGAGCAAGGCCUCCUGCCCUGGAGGAUGCCCCAGGGUGGCCACCAGCACUCCAGGACAUGCAGGCUCUGGGACGGUGCUGUGAAGCUGCAAGAUGCUGCAGCCUCCUUGCUCAGAAAGGUGAGCGGGAUCAAUGUGCCCAAUAACCUGUCAUUAUGGAGUGAGCUGGGCUGGAGCAGCCACUCCAGUCCCCUGCCAUUAGCAAGGCAUAAUUAUUCCUGACAUUGGCCAAGAAAUUGCUGAGGAUGGGGAGCCGAGGGGGGCCGGGAUGCAAUCCCAGCUCCUCACCCUGGCGCUGGGCAUUUUGGAAGUGACUAAGCAAAACCUGAGCAUUCCCUUUUGCUUUUCAAAGAGAUGGAGGGAUUAGGAAGGCAGGAAGGGGACUUUCAGAUAGGUUCAGAUCGGGGUGAACUGGGCAAAUAUAAGCAGGGAAGACAGAGGAAAGCCUGGAGAAGGCAGGCACGUGGCUUUGGACUGGACCUGGUGGAGGUUUGGGAUGAGAGCAGGCAGCCGUAGCACUGACGUUGGCAGCGGCUGUGUCUUGCCACAGCCCCUAUCGCAGCACCGCAGUCAGGCAAAGCAAACACGGCCCUAAAUGGAGCCCUCUGGCUGCCCUGCCGAUAAGCAGCACACGCUGGUAGCGGAGACAGUUGCCUGUUGUUCCCCGUGACGCAGCUCUGCUUUUCAGCCCCGGCCAUGCGUGGAGAAGGUUUCUGCUAAGCCCCUGUUUGAUCAGAACCAGCGAUGCUCAGACUGCAGCCCUGCUUUUAGAUGAGCCAAGGGUACGGGGCUGGUGCGGCCCCACUGCCCGUUUUGGGUCAGUGUCAUCAGCUCAUGUCCCACACCUUGUGGCAGCCCUCAAGGACCUCAUCCAGGGCAGGGGAGAUGCAGGGUCACUCCAGACUUUGGAUGGUCAGGCAGUCUGGUCUCCAUCUUCACCUCCAAGAUAGAAGAUGCCUUUUAUGUUAUUCCCACUGGUUUACUCCUGGGAUAUUCAUAUCUGUGGUCCCAAACAGGAACACUGGGCAGACACAUGGUCAUGAUGACCUUCAGAGGGACCUCAGCAGGCUGGAGAGGUGGGCAGGAGGGAACCUCACAAAGCUCAGCAAGUGAAAAUGCAAAGUCCUGCCCCUGGGGAGGAAUCACCCCAUGCACCAGUACGUACUGGGGGCCAACCAGCAGGAAAGAAACUUUCCGUGGAGCCCUGGGGCUGCUGAUGGACCUGGCUGGACCCAACCCCAAGAAAGACUGGGGCUCUGCUUGAGCUCAACCAGGUGAUCCCCAGAGACCCUUUCCAACAGCAACCAUUCUGCCAUUCUGGGCUUGUCAAUGGAAAGAAAAAGAAUGGAAAAGAUAAUAAUAAUAACAAUAACAAUAAUAAGCUUUUGAAAUAGAUCCUCUUGUAAAUCCCACCUGAAAAACCUCCAAAACAGAAAGAAGAGGG